rnacentral:rRNA from 1 species
AAAAUUUAGUUAGAAUUUUAUUUUUUAGUUAAAAAGCUAAAAUAUAUUCAAAAGACGAGAAGACCCUAUAAAUCUUGAUUAUUUAGUAAUUUUUAGCUUAUUUUGAUUUUUUUUAUUAUAAAUUUAUUAAUUAAUUUUAUUGGGGUGAUAUUAAAAUUUAAAUAACUUUUAAUAAUUUUUAUCAUUUAUUUAUGAUUAAGUGAUCCAUUAUUAGUGAUUAGAAAAUUAAGUUACUUUAGGGAUAACAGCGUAAUUUUUUUGGAGAGUUCUUAUCGAUAAAAAAGUUUGCGACCUCGAUGUUGGAUUAAGAUUCAUAUUUAAAUGUAGAAGUUUAAAUAUAAAGUCUGUUCGAC